rnacentral:rRNA from 1 species
AUUGAACGCUAACGGCGUGCUUAACACAUGCAAGUCGAGCGGCAGCAUGAUCUGUAGCAAUACAGAUUGAUGGCGAGCGGCGGACGGGUGAGUAACAUAUAGGAAUCUGCCUUGUAGUGGGGGAUAACCCGGGGAAACUCGGGCUAAUACCGCAUAAUCUCUACGGAGCAAAGUGGGGGACCGUAAGGCCUCACGCUAAAAGAUGAGCCUAUAUUGGAUUAGCUAGUUGGUGAGGUAAUGGCUCACCAAGGCGACGAUCCAUAGCUGGUCUGAGAGGAUGAUCAGCCACACUGGGACUGAGACACGACCCAGACUCCUACGGGAGGCAGCAGUGGGGAAUAUUGGACAAUGGGCGCAAGCCUGAUCCAGCAACGCCGUGUGUGUGAAGAAGGCCUUCGGGUUGUAAAGCACUUUUAGUUGGGAAGAAAAGCUUAUGGUUAAUAACCAUGAGUGAUGACGUUACCAACAGAAAAAGCACUGGCUAACUCUGUGCCAGCCGCCGCGGUAAAAC